rnacentral:tRNA from 1 species
GGGGUUGUGACUCAGUGGUAGAGCGCUUGCCUAACAUGUAUGAGGCACUGGGUUUGAUACUCAGCACCACA